rnacentral:rRNA from 1 species
UACGAAGGGGGCUAGCGUUGCUCGGAAUUACUGGGCGUAAAGCGCACGUAGGCGGAUUGUUAAGUCGGGGGUGAAAUCCUGGAGCUCAACUCCAGAACUGCCUUCGAUACUGGCGAUCUCGAGUUCGGGAGAGGUGAGUGGAACUGCGAGUGUAGAGGUGAAAUUCGUAGAUAUUCGCAAGAACACCAGUGGCGAAGGCGGCUCACUGGCCCGAUACUGACGCUGAGGUGCGAAGACGUGGGGAGCAAACAGG